GACGAACGCUGGCGGCGUGCUUAACACAUGCAAGUCGAACGCUGAAGCUCAGCUUUUGUUGGGUGGAUGAGUGGCGAACGGGUGAGUAACACGUGAGUAACCUGCCCCCUUCUUGGGGAUAACGCCCGGAAACGGGUGCUAAUACUGGAUAUUCACUGGUCUUCGCAUGGGGGUUGGUGCAAAGGGUUUUUCUGGUUGGUGAUGGGCUCGCGGCCUAUAAGCUGGUUGGUGGGGUGAUGGCCUACCAAGACUUUGACGGGUAGCAGGCCUUAGAGGGUGACCGGUCACAUUGGGACUGGGAUACGGCCCAGACUCAUACGGGAGGCAGCAGUGGGGAAUAUUGCACAAUGGGCGCAAGCCUGAUGCAGCGACGACGCGUGAGGGUUGGAGGCCUUCGGGUUGUGAACCUCUUGCGCUGAUGGUCAAGCCGCAACAAUGGUUGUGGUGAGGGUAGUCGGUAAAGAAGCGCCGGCUAACUACGUG
rnacentral:rRNA from 1 species